AUCUUUUGCUAUACCAUUCCAAACAAGCCUGAUCUUAUCUGAUCUUAGAAGCUAAGCAGGGUCUGGCCUGGUUAGUACUUGGAUGGCACCCCACCAGGGAAUAUCAAGCUUAAAAAACA
rnacentral:rRNA from 1 species